GACGUACGCUGGCGGCGUGCUUAACACAUGCAAUUCGAACGGAAAGGCCCUGCUUUUGUGGGGUGCUCGAGUGGCGAACGGGUGAGUAACACGUGAGUAACCUGCCCUUGACUUUGGGAUAACUUCAGGAAACUGGGGCUAAUACCGGAUAGGAGCUCCUGCUGCAUGGUGGGGGUUGGAAAGUUUCGGCGGUUGGGGAUGGACUCGCGGCUUAUCAGCUUGUUGGUGGGGUAGUGGCUUACCAAGGCUUUGACGGGUAGCCGGCCUGAGAGGGUGACCGGCCACAUUGGGACUGAGAUACGGCCCAGACUCCUACGGGAGGCAGCAGUGGGGAAUAUUGCACAAUGGGCGGAAGCCUGAUGCAGCAACGCCGCGUGCGGGAUGACGGCCUUCGGGUUGUAAACCGCUUUCGCCUGUGACGAAGCGUGAGUGACGGUAAUGGGUAAAGAAGCACCGGCUAACUACGUG
rnacentral:rRNA from 1 species